rnacentral:rRNA from 1 species
CUACGGAGGGUGCAAGCGUUACUCGGAAUCACUGGGCGUAAAGCGCGCGCAGGCGGCUUGAUAAGUUGGAUGUGAAAGCCUACGGCUCAACCGUAGAACUGCAUCCAAAACUGUCAGGCUUGAGUGUGGGAGAGGAAGAUGGAAUUAGUUGUGUAGGGGUAAAAUCCGUAGAGAUAACUAGGAAUACCAAAAGCGAAGGCAAUCUUCUGGAACACUACUGACGCUGAGGCGCGAAGGCGUGGGGAGCAAACAGGAUUAGAUACCCUAGUAGUCC